GGCUUGCCCUCAUCUCCCCACCCCCUUAACUGGCCUCGUGCAAACAACGACUUAAGUCUCAAAACCUGAGUACAAUUCGCCUCCUCCUGGAAGCAUCCUCUGUGCCUAACUCGGUCCCGCAGGAACCGUGAACCUCUGCCUGUGUUCCUUGCCUGUUGUAUCUCCGUCCGUUACAGUUCUUUCCAGGAGUCAACAGACACUGGCCCGCGGACCAAAUCUGCUCUGCCAACUGAUGUGGACAUCUAGACACAGAGAGAGCGUAAGUAUAUGGCCAACUAAUCUUUGACAAAGCAGGACAGAACAUCCAAUGGAA